rnacentral:lncRNA from 1 species
GACUUAAAAGCUCUUUGAUAAAUAUCAAUAAAAUUCAACGUAACUUACAAUUAGGUCUCGAGACUUGUUUAUAAAGGAAAGUAACGACUCCUAAUCGAAGUAAAGAUUUGGUAUAAUCAUAAUCUACACAAACUAAUGAAUCCUAACUAAAUAAGAAGAAUAAGGCCUUAAGUAACGAACACAACAAAAGCCCAAUAAUGUGUUUGUUAAAACGAUUGAUCCUCAAGCAUGUGCUACAUCAGGUCUCUCCGGGUGAGGGAGGAUUCGACCACGAAUCCGCAGUGGCAUUAUCACCGUGAAAUGGAGAGAAAGGCUUGACGUUGAAAGCGUUGGACGUACGCAAAUAAUCCGGAAGACAAACACGAUAAGCAUUUGGGUUAAUCCGUUCAAGUACCUCGACAUGACCUAUUUUCCUCGACUUGAGCUUGUUAUACUCUCGCAGUGGAAGACGAUCCUUUGUAAGGACUACCCAGACCAAAUCACCGGGGUUCAAAAUCACCUCACCUCUCUUUAAGUUU